rnacentral:rRNA from 1 species
GAUGAACGCUGGCGGCGUGCCUAAUACAUGCAAGUCGAGCGAACAGACGAGGAGCUUGCUCCUCUGACGUUAGCGGCGGACGGGUAAGUAACACGUGGAUAACCUACCUAUAAGACUGGGAUAACUUCGGGAAACCGGAGCUAAUACCGGAUAAUAUAUUGAACCGCAUGGUUCAAUAGUGAAAGACGGUUUUGCUGUCACUUAUAGAUGGAUCCGCGCCGCAUUAGCUAGUUGGUAAGGUAACGGCUUACCAAGGCAACGAUGCGUAGCCGACCUGAGAGGGUGAUCGGCCACACUGGAACUGAAACACGGUCCAGACUCCUACGGGAGGCAGCAGUAGGGAAUCUUCCGCAAUGGGCGAAAGCCUGACGGAGCAACGCCGCGUGAGUGAUGAAGGUCUUCGGAUCGUAAAACUCUGUUAUUAGGGAAGAACAAAUGUGUAAGUAACUAUGCACGUCUUGACGGUACCUAAUCAGAAAGCCACGGCUAACUACGUG